AAUUGAUUAUUAUUAUUUGUGCCCUGGUCUGAUAAGAGCUCUUUUCUCACUUCCCACGAGUCGGGUUGUGACGAAUUCAGGUUGAAUAGAGGGGGUACUCAGCUGGAGGUUGAAUAGAGGGGGUAGGCAGCUGGAGGUUGAAUAGAGGGGGUAGGCAGUGGAGAACCUGUCAGAGCAGGGUUGGAGGAGAGGACCUCUGCUGUUCUGUGUCUCUACUGGUCCUUGUGGAGAACCUGUCAGAGCAGGGUUGGAGGAGAGGACCACUGCUGUUCUGUGUCUCUACUGGUCCUAGUGGAGAACCUGUCAGAGCAGGGUUGGAGGAGAGGACCACUGCUGUUCUGUGUCUCUACUGGUCCUAGUGGAGAACCUGUCAGACCACUGCUGUUCUGUGUCUCUACUGGUCCUAGUGGAGAACCUGUCAGAGCAGGAAAUCAUGAGGAAGAGCUCCUAGCCCUGUUUAUACCUGGUUCUAACUUGCAUCCUUUGUCCUGAUCUUGUCCACAUUUUUAGACCCGGUGAAGACAGUCAGAUCAUCCUGCCCCCCUCUGGAGGUCGUCAGAUGCGUCUUUAGACAGAUCAGAUCAUCCUGCCCCCCUCUGGAGGUCGUCAGAUGCAUCUUUAGACAGAUCAGAACAUUAUGCAGCUCUCUAAAAUCAUCUUUAGACAGAGAAACCAGUCAGAACAUUAUGCAGCUCUCUAAAAUCAUCUUUAGACAGAGAAACCAGUCAGAACAUUAUGCAGCUCUCUAAAAUCAGUGACAGGUGACACCAUUGACUGUCUUCAGAUCAGCGGAGUCCGAUAUUAGAACAGUAUUACAGACUAUUAUAGAGAUGAUUUAUGAGUCCACAGAACAGUAUUACAGACUAUUAUAGAGAUGCUUUAUGAGUCCACAGAACAGUAACGUGAUAUUAUUGAUGUUAAAUUGUAUUUCAGAUUAGUUACGGCAAGAUAUAACCAUGUUAUGAUCAUUAAAAACAUCCUUCCCUGUCGUCUGAUGGGCCAAUAACAUUCCUUCCUCUGAAUGGGUCUGAGGAGACACUGACCACUACUAACUACAGCUGGGUUAGACAGACCCCUACAACAGAAUCUGGCCCCUGUAUGGGUCUGAGGAGACACUGACCACUACUAACUACAGCUGGGUUAGACAGACCCCUACAACAGAAUCUGGCCCCUGUAUGGGUCUGAGGAGACACUGACCACUAACUACAGCUGGGUUAGACAGACUCCUACAACAGAAUCUGGCCCCUGUAUGGGUCUGAGGAGACACUGACCACUAACUACAGCUGGGUUAGAC
ensembl:lncRNA